rnacentral:snRNA from 1 species
AUCGCUUCUUCGGCUUAUUAGCUAAGAUCAAAGUGUAGUAUCUGUUCUUAUCGUAUUAACCUACGGUAUACGCUCGAAGGAAUAGAAUUGAACAGGAUCGCACAUUGAUAAAAAAGAAAAGCAUU